AUUGAACGCUGGCGGCAUGCUUUACACAUGCAAGUCGAACGGUAACAGGGUGCUUGCACCGCUGACGAGUGGCGAACGGGUGAGUAAUGCGUCGGAACGUGCCGAGUAGUGGGGGAUAACGCAGCGAAAGUUGUGCUAAUACCGCAUACGUACUGAGGUAGAAAGUGGGGGACCCUCGGGCCUCACGCUAUUCGAGCGGCCGCCGUCUGAUUAGCUAGUAGGUGAGGUAAAGGCUCACCUAGGCGACGAUCAGUAGCGGGUCUGAGAGGAUGAUCCGCCACACUGGGACUGAGACACGGCCCAGACUCCUACGGGAGGCAGCAGUGGGGAAUUUUGGACAAUGGGCGAAAGCCUGAUCCAGCCAUGCCGCGUGUCUGAAGAAGGCCUUCGGGUUGUAAAGGACUUUUGUCAGGGAGGAAAUCCCUAGUGCUAAUAACACUGGGGGAUGACAGUACCUGAAGAAUAAGCACCGGCUAACUACGUGCCAGCAGCCGCCGUAA
rnacentral:rRNA from 1 species